CCCUAGGGUUUCCCCAAAACAUAUAAGAUUCUUGAAACCCAAGAAAGAGAAGAAGAAAGGGACGUUUGGAGACGUUGAGAUUCCUUCAAUAAGUGUGAUUGUAGAACCUUGGGAAUUAUGUUUGAGCGGGAUUUGAGGUAUGUUUAUAUUUCAAAAAUUGUCUUUUCAAGUAUGUCUACUUUUGAAGUACGUUUAUAUUGUUAAAGCAUGAUUUGUAUUUGAGAAUCCUUUCUUGAUUUUUUGUAUAAGUUAUAACUCUUGUUUGGUGGAAGUUCUUUUGGAAUUAAAGAUGAUUUCUUUUAGACAAGGUCAUGUGUGUGUAGGGUGAAGCCCGCAUCGAACCUUAUAUGAACAAUACUACUUUGUGAAACUCGCUUUUCCCAUUAUUGGAUGAUUGAAAUAUUUUUUCUAAAGGUUGGACC